CAAUAGCGUAUAUUAAAGUUGUUGCAGUUAAAAAGCUCGUAGUUGGAUUUCGGGGCAGCCUGGCUGGUCCGCCGCAAGGCGAGUACUGGUCAGCCGCCCUUCCUCUCGAAAGCCCCGACUGCUCUUCGUUGCAGUGGUCGGGUAGUUCGGGACGUUUACUUUGAAAAAAUUAGAGUGUUCAAGGCAGGCCUACGCCUGAAUACAUUAGCAUGGAAUAAUGGAAGAGGACCUCGGUCCUAUUUUGUUGGUUUCCAGGGCCGAAGUAAUGAUUAAGAGGGACAGUUGGGGGCAUUCGUAUUUAAUUGUCAGAGGUGAAAUUCUCGGAUUUAUGAAAGACGAACAACUGCGAAAGCAUUUGCCAAGGUUGUUUUCAUUAA
rnacentral:rRNA from 1 species